CUUCUUCUGCAACAUUUUUAUCGGACAAUAAAGAUAAGUGAAGAUGAGAGGAGGUCUCGUCGGGCCAACAGUCUAUUUAAACGUGUAGUCUGGAACGUGUCUGUGUUGCUCACUUUUCCUGCAAUGGCCUCAAUUGCUUCACCAGAGAUGGGAGGUAACAGGAUCAGGCUGGCAUGCAACCCCCUAGUAUGAACCCCCUGAUAAAAAAGAAGGGGGCUACUGUAAUGGACACCUCAAUUAGACCCCCCUCUGUCACAUUUUAACAGCGUUUGACCAUGAGCUAUCGCCCAGUUUCAGGUAUCGUCACACUAACUCAACUCGCAUCCCAAAUCUUGAAAUCGAUCCAGAACCUUCUGGUGGUGUGACACGUUAAUAGGGAGUGGGAGAGAGAGAGAGCACAGUGGUGAGGUCAUGGCACAGCUGUGUUGUUGAUGUGGAGCAGCCUUAUUUGGAUAAAAGAUAAGAGUUUUCCAUCUUGAUAGGAGGCGGCAUCUUAGCUCAGCCUCUCAGUGAAAGGAUGUAGAGACUGUUGAAAGAGUGAUGAAGUUAAGUGAUAUCUCCACAAGGCUUUUCAGCUGUUGUGUGCUUGUUUGUCUUGACUAUGAUACAUGGUGUUUUGUCUAAGCCACCAGUUUAGAUAACCCCUCUGUUCCUCUUUAAUCUGGCUCCUCGCCACACGUCUCUUUCUGCAGCCAAACAACACAUAGGGAGGAUUUGGAAUCAUGAAUUACGUAUCAGAUUUAACGGGUCAUGUUAAUAGCAGGUGGCUCCAACUUACUCUUUCCAAGAUAAUCAGGCGAACUGGUGGGUUUCCAAAACAUAACAACACUGUUGUGUGCGACACGCUGGUGUUCAUGUUACUGAAGCAGCACUCACUGCCCUAAAAGGAUGUGAUCUUUAAUUCAACCUCCUUUUGCUGACCAAGGACGUCUUAUUGAGGUGUAAACAUAAUUUCCAACACAUUUUUGUGCUUUGCAAAGGCAACACUAAAUUUGAUGGAUUUGCUGAAUUCAUCUGAUCAAAGGAAGAUGGUGUUAAAGUGGGUUUUAGAGCUUUUUAGACUAAAACGAAGCCACAACUGUUAUGACCCUGGGUCUCUGCUGUGAGAGUGAACCGAAACAGUGAGGAGGGUGUGGUUGGACAGCCAAGUGAUGAGCUGAAACUUGCUGUAAAGCUACAUAAAGCUGAGUUCAGGCAGCAGCCUCUCCUUGGUCUUUGGACGUCUUGUCUUUCCUCCAGGCUCGGUACAGUUUGAUGCUCAGGCUCGUCCUCAGGUCAUACAGCUCCUCCAAGUGGAACCGCUGCCGGAAGCGAUCCACAAAGCUG